CAGGGUGGACUUUUCUCCCAGCUGACAGAUGUCCCACUCAAAGCCAUGGGCUUGGUUGCAGAGACAGACCAUCUACGGUAGAUGAGGACUGAUCUUUUGUCCCAGCUGGCCAAGUAGUUGCACUCCCCUGCUGGAGCCUCUGAGCUCCCAGGGCUCAUGUAUGGGAGCUAAUCCUGCUCUAUGUCAGGCACUAUAUUAGAUGCUACAUGUACCUUGUCUCAUU
ensembl:misc_RNA 7SK 7SK RNA